AUUGAACGCUGGCGGCAUGCCUAACACAUGCAAGUCGAACGAGUGGCGUACGGGUGAGUAAUUUCUGGGAAACUGCCUGAUUGAGGGGUAUAACUACUUGAAACUUUAUCUAAUACCACAUACCAUCAGAUGUGCCCAUAUGUGAUUAGCUUCUUGGUGGGGUAACGGCUCACCAAGGCGACGAUCCCUAGCUGGUCUGCUAGGAUGACCAGCCAAACUGGAACUGAGACACGGCCCAGACUCCUACGGGAGGCAGCAGUGGGGAAUAUUGCACAAUGGGCGCAAGCCUGAUGCAGCCAUGCCGCGUGUAUGAAGAAGGCCUUCGGGUUGUAAAGUACUUUCAGUGGGGAGGCGUUACCAGCAGAAGAAGCACCGGCUAACUCCGUGCCAGCAGCCGCGGUAAUAC
rnacentral:rRNA from 1 species